UACGAAGGGGGCUAGCGUUGUUCGGAAUCACUGGGCGUAAAGGGCGCGUAGGCGGCCGAUCAAGUCGGGGGUGAAAGCCUGUGGCUCAACCACAGAAUUGCCUUCGAUACUGUUUGGCUUGAGACCGGAAGAGGUAAGUGGAACUGCGAGUGUAGAGGUGAAAUUCGUAGAUAUUCGCAAGAACACCAGUGGCGAAGGCGGCUUACUGGUCCGGUUCUGACGCUGAGGCGCGAAAGCGUGGGGAGCAAACAGG
rnacentral:rRNA from 1 species